CAAUAGCGUAUAUUAAAGUUGUUGCAGUUAAAAAGCUCGUAGUUGGAUUUCUGGUUGAAGCGACCGGUCGGGCGUUGAUUCGUCUGCACUGGAGUCGGUUUUGGCCAUCCUCUAGGAAAGUGCGUCUGGUAUUAAGUUAUCGGGCGUAUGAUCCUGGUCUUUUACUGUGAAAAAAUUAGAGUGUUUAAAGCAGGCCUUCGCCUUGAAUACAUUAGCAUGGAAUAAUAAGAUAGGACUUUGGUCUAUUUUGUUGGUUGAGCCUAAAGUAAUGAUUAAUAGGGAUAGUUGGGGGCACCUGUAUUGCGUUGUCAGAGGUGAAAUUCUUGGAUUUACGCAAGACAAACAGCUGCGAAAGCGUCUGCCAAGGAUGUUUNCAUUA
rnacentral:rRNA from 1 species